UACAGAGGUCCCAAGCGUUGUUCGGAUUCACUGGGCGUAAAGGGUGCGUAGGUGGUCGGGUAAGUCUGAUGUGAAAUCUCCGAGCUUAACUCGGAAAUGGCAUUGGAUACUAUUCGGCUGGAGGUUUGGAGGGGGGACUGGAAUUCUCGGUGUAGCAGUGAAAUGCGUAGAGAUCGGCAGGAACACCCAGGGGGAAACCAGCCGACUGGGCAUCUGCUGACGCUGAGGUGCGAGAGCGUGGGGAGCGAACCGG
rnacentral:rRNA from 1 species